CUCAGAAAAUGGAAAAGCAAACAAAAAAAAAUAAUGGUACACUACGUGCUAAGUACAGUGUAUCCUUGUGCAUCUCUCUGCGCUCAAGGAAACAACUACUUCCUUCCGGCGCUGAAUCAGCGCAGGGGAAUUGAGGCGGGCAACUCUGCAGAAUGGGUGUGGGCGGCAAGCAGAGACAUCUUUACCCGGUGCCCUGCCAGCUUGCCAUUACCCUGCGCGGCUUCAGCUUUGAGAGCAAG